GUUUCUGCUCAGAGAAGCCCUUGAAGCUCCGGAGAGCAUGGGGGCUCAAGGUCCCGGCAGAAAGGGAACCCGCCCUGGCAGACCUCGCAGCUCUGCCAAGACUAGACGGCCAGGCGAGAAGACUUGCCCGGGGCAAGAGCACGGAGGAAGGUUAGCGACUCGUUUAGCACAAGCAUUGGGGGACUGGCGCAGCCUGCGGUCUGGAUUUCUAAGGGGGGGGAAGAGCUUAGGAAGAAAAGGCAGCGGCACAGACUGCCGGCCUCUUCUCCUGCGGAAAAGCCCGCGUGUGAGCUUACCCGCCUCGCCGUGUGCGCGCCCUCGCUCCGCGGGCGCCGGCCCUGUUCUAGGUCACUCUUCUCUCUUGCAUUCGGGUUUCCUGAGGCAGGGGCAGGGGCAGUGGCAGGGGCAGGGUGGGCAUCUCUCAUCUCCAGGGAAGCACAUGGUUUUGUACCGAAUUCACUAAAACGACCGCCUCCCCCACAGGAACCAGGACUGGGGUGUAAUGACAGUGGUGAGGUGGGUGGCAGCUGAGAGUGGCACAAUCCUGGGUUUUGCAGAUAUUUAAUGUUACAUUGAGGCGUUUUGACUCUGCCAUUUUCGGUCCGUAAAUCAGAGACAGUACUAUCCCCACAGGCCUCUGAUAUUCUUGGACGUCCCUGACUGACGCGCUCUUGCACCUAAUUCACCACAUACCCUUUGUACCUCCUGGGCCAAGCGGCCCCAUUCCCUGGCACCAAAACAGAGCAAAACACACACAAGAGACGUGACGGAGGUGAUGGAAAUGCCACAAAACAUCUGGAAACUAAAGGUCCUGCUCUGGACCAAAAGGAACACAGUCAAACUCUCUCCCUCUCUCUCUCUCUUAAAGGCCCCUCUAUCCUUCUGCAUGGACAACCAGGAAAAGGAAAAAAAAAAAAAUGGACUACACACUCCUUUUGUGUCAGCUGAAUGCCUGGGAAGGUGUGUUUACAGGUUUCUCCCAGCCCAGGACGAGCAUUCACCUUGUAAGACCCUUUCGGUCGGCGGCAGGGGCAAGCCUGGCUGGAUUUCCGCCCUUAUAACCCACAAAAACAUUUCAAGCCAUUCUCCGAAGCCACAGCGUGCCUGGCUAAAUGUCUAACUUCCAAAUCUGAAUGCAGAGACCAAAGGGCUGAGGCAGGGAAACGCAGAGGGGCUUUCUCUUCCAUCCUCACGGGGCCCUGGAGGAGUCUGACAGCUGUUUCUAUCGUGUGUUGUAUACAGAGUUGGUACAAUGUAUUAAAUAUUUUAUUUAUGUUACCAUUUUAUAAUAAAAUAUUUUGCUCAACACUUAUUUAAUGUAUG
rnacentral:lncRNA from 1 species